UACGUAAGGGGCAAGCGUUAUCCGGAUUUACUGGGUGUAAAGGGAGCGUAGACGGAAUGGCAAGUCUGAUGUGAAAGGCAGGGGCUUAACCCCUGGACUGCAUUGGAAACUGUCAGUCUAGAGUGCCGGAGAGGUAAGCGGAAUUCCUAGUGUAGCGGUGAAAUGCGUAGAUAUUAGGAGGAACACCAGUGGCGAAGGCGGCUUACUGGACGGUAACUGACGUUGAGGCUCGAAAGCGUGGGGAGC
rnacentral:rRNA from 1 species